rnacentral:rRNA from 1 species
GGAUUAGAUACCCUGGUAGUCCACGCCGUAAACGAUGGAUGCUAGGUGUCGGGACUCUUAGAGUUUCGGUGCCGCAGUUAACGCAUUAAGCAUCCCGCCUGGGGAGUACGGCCGCAAGGUUAAAACUCAAAGGAAUUGACGGGGGCCCGCACAAGCGGUGGAGCAUGUGGUUUAAUUCGAUGCAACGCGAAGAACCUUACCAGCCCUUGACAUCCCGGUCGCGAUUUCCAGAGAUGGAUUUCUUCAUUUAGUUGGACCGGUGACAGGUGCUGCAUGGCUGUCGUCAGCUCGUGCCG